rnacentral:rRNA from 1 species
UAACGCGUGGAUAACCUGCCUCACACAGGGGAUAACAGUUAGAAAUGACUGCUAAUACCGCAUAAGCGCACGGCAUCGCAUGAUGCAGUGUGAAAAACUCCGGUGGUGUGAGAUGGAUCCGCGUCUGAUUAGGUAGUUGGUGGGGUAACGGCCCACCAAGCCGACGAUCAGUAGCCGACCUGAGAGGGUGACCGGCCACAUUGGGACUGAGACACGGCCCAA